rnacentral:rRNA from 1 species
GAUGAACGCUGGCCGCGUGCCUAAUACAUGCAAGUCGAGCGAACAGACGAGAGUGCUUGCACUCUCUGACGUUAGCGGCGGACGGGUGAGUAACACGUGGGUAACCUACCUAUAAGACUGGGAUAACUUCGGGAAACCGGAGCUAAUACCGGAUAAUAUUUAGCUUCGCAUGAAGCAAUAGUGAAAGACGGUUCUGCUGUCACUUAUAGAUGGACCCGCGGUGUAUUAGCUAGUUGGUGAGGUAACGGCUCACCAAGGCAACGAUACAUAGCCGACCUGAGAGGGUGAUCGGCCACACUGGGACUGAGACACGGCCCAGACUCCUACGGGAGGCAGCAGUAGGGAAUCUUCCGCAAUGGACGAAAGUCUGACGGAGCAAUGCCGCGUGAGUGAAGAAGGUUUUCGGAUCGUAAAACUCUGUUGUAAGGGAAGAACAAGUACGUUAGUAACUGAACGUACCUUGACGGUACCUUACCAGAAAGCCACGGCUAACUACGUG